GUACCCGUUUGAGUGGUCCACUUCUCAGUCCAACUCUGAUCUUGGUGUGCAGGGCAGCAGUAAAGAGAUCUGGAGUCUGGGAAGUUCAAGAGCAUGGCACCAACAUCUGGCAAGGGCUUUCAUUCUGCAUCAUCUCAUGGAGGAAAAUAAAAAGAUUUCAGGUAAAUCCAGAUUUGGAGCUUAAAUGACUCAAAUGCUUUGCCUACAUUGAUCCUACAUUCAGGCUGCUUACAUAUCUCUUGGCUUCUCUGAGAACCAGAUUGUCACCACUUAAAGGUCUGUUAGAAUUUUCACAAAACCUUCUCAACUGAUUUCUUCUUCAUGGGAAAGUAAAAGCAAUGAAAAUGCCUUCAAGUUAACUAGGUCUUAUUAGGUACAAAUUGUUGCAAGGAAAGUGAGGUGGGAUGGAAGUAGAAGGUUGUUCUGAAAUCAUCUUACAAAUGUCAGCAUUCAAGACCUGAGUAAUCCAAGAUAGCAAGAGCAGAUCAAUGAUCUCUAUACAGAAUGCUCUACAAAGGACUUGGAAGGAACGGUAAACCCACAGGGCUUUCAACCCUCUUCCUAUGAACAAUGGGGCUCAUAGGGUUUGCAAGAUACAGGAAGAAGCUCCUGGAGAUGCCAGACAAAGAAGGAAAGGUGAUCCAUCAACCUCCACCUGCUUUACAAACAGACAGCCCC
rnacentral:lncRNA from 1 species